CAGCGCGGGGCAACCUGGCGGCGAGUGGCGAACGGGUGAGUAAUAUAUCGGAACGUACCCUGGAGUGGGGGAUAACGUAGCGAAAGUUACGCUAAUACCGCAUACGAUCUAAGGAUGAAAGUGGGGGAUCGCAAGACCUCAUGCUCCUGGAGCGGCCGAUAUCUGAUUAGCUAGUUGGUGGGGUAAAGGCCUACCAAGGCAUCGAUCAGUAGCUGGUCUGAGAGGACGACCAGCCACACUGGAACUGAGACACGGUCCAGACUCCUACGGGAGGCAGCAGUGGGGAAUUUUGGACAAUGGGCGCAAGCCUGAUCCAGCAAUGCCGCGUGAGUGAAGAAGGCCUUCGGGUUGUAAAGCUCUUUUGUCAGGGAAGAAACGGUGAGGGCUAAUAUCCCUUGCUAAUGACGGUACCUGAAGAAUAAGCACCGGCUAACUACGUGCCAGCAGCCGCGGUAAUACGUAGGGUGCAAGCGUUAAUCGGAAUUACUGGGCGUAAAGCGUGCGCAGGCGGUUUUGUAAGUCUGUCGUGAAAUCCCCGGGCUCAACCUGGGAAUUGCGAUGGAGACUGCAAGGCUAGAAUCUGGCAGAGGGGGGUAGAAUUCCACGUGUAGCAGUGAAAUGCGUAGAGAUGUGGAGGAACACCGAUGGCGAAGGCAGCCCCCUGGGUCAAGAUUGACGCUCAUGCACGAAAGCGUGGGGAGCAAACAGGAUUAGAUACCCUGGUAGUCCACGCCCUAAACGAUGUCUACUAGUUGUCGGGUUUUAAUUAACUUGGUAACGCAGCUAACGCGUG
rnacentral:rRNA from 1 species